UGUUAGGCUUGGAUGAGCAAUCUGUUA
rnacentral:piRNA from 1 species